GAGCUGGUGCAUGAGAGGCGGAAGUUCAGACGGUUCAUUCAGAGCAUAUACGACUUCUGUAUCUUUUCUAAAGAAGAACUUCAGGAGGACCUGAGGCAUAUUCCUGUUUGGGGAAGAGGCUUAUAUUGGAGACAAUGCUUGCUCAACAUACGUACUUUACCGGUUCUUCUUUGGAUAUGGAUGUUCUAGAAAAUUAAUUCACCGACACUUUUUUGAUGAACAAAAAAGUAUUGUUAUGUUCGUAUAUUAUUCCAGAACCAUGAAAUAUUGUAGGAACUAACUCAAGGGCCAUGGUAGUUUGUUGAUAGUUUACUUCAUCUUUGUUGUGCGAUUUUGUACAUUUUGUCUAUUCAGUUCACAUGUUAGAUAAUUUGGAAAUGCAACUUUGGCAAUCUGUACCAAAUGUUAGGUAAUAGAUCGAUCAUUAAUAUUA